AGAGUUUGAUCAUGGCUCAGGAUGAACGCUGGCUGUGUGCCUAAUACAUGCAUGUCGAGCGAAGCACUUCGGUGCUUAGCGGCGAAUGGGUGAGUAACACGUACUUAACCUACCCCCAAGAUUGGGACAACACCUGGAAACGGGUGCUAAUACCAAAUACGUAUUUUUAUCGCAUGAUAGAAAUAUAAAAGGAGCUUCGGCUUCACUAGGGGAUGGGAGUGCGCUACAUUAGUUAGUUGGUAGGGUAAUGGCCUACCAAGACGAUGAUGUAUAGCGGGGCCGAGAGGCUGAUCCGCCACACUGGGACUGAGAUACGGCCCAGACUCCUACGGGAGGCAGCAGUAGGGAAUUUUCCACAAUGAACGAAAGUUUGAUGGAGCGACACAGCGUGCAGGAUGAGGGUCUUCGGAUCGUAAACUGCUGUUAUAAGGGAAGAAAAACUUUAGUAGGUAAUGACUAGAACUUGACGGUACCUUAUCAGAAAGCGACGGCUAACUAUGUGCCAGCAGCCGCGGUAAU
rnacentral:rRNA from 1 species